UCUCUCUCAUUCUCUCUAACCUCUCGGCCUCCAUCCCUCCCCCAUCAUUCUUUCAAAUUCUUCAUCAAAACAAGUUAAAAAUCAACAUUCAAUCAAUGCAAAGAACUCCUUAUAACAUUGAGCCUUAAUGCAAGCCUAAUCCUUCUAUUUUCUUCCCUCUCUCUGUCGAGUUCCCACCUUCCUCCCUUCUUUGAUAAUUUGAAGAAUUGAAAAGCAACUACCAUUGCAUGUUUGAUUAGAGUGAUGAUUAAGGGUUAAUGGGUACUUGAAAUCAAGAAGAGGAAGAUUAAGCAAUGACUGAACCAUGGGUAUUGGAUUUGUCAAUGGUGAAAGCUGUUACAGCCUUGGUUUUUUAAUGGAGAAUUGAAAAAGGAGAGGUUUUAAGCACGGAGAAUCAUAAAGCUCAUCAGUUUAUGUGUUCAACAAAUUAGGACAUAAUUGCAGUAUUUUGGCCGUAUCUUCUACUGUGUAAACCGAAAUUAAUUGAUUACUGAAGUUUUAGAUUCCUCAUUCAAUUCCCUUCAGCUUGGACACAAACUUUGUAUGAUUCGGGUUAGAAACGGAUUCGAAAAACGCAUUUGAAGUUGGUAGAUUCUGCUGGAAUUUGUUUACGGGUUUUGGGACAGCGCUUCACUAAAACGGUUCGGUAUUGAGGUCUGAAGUGGAGUUUGAAGUAAGGCGACUGAUAUGGGUUUUGUGCUGAACCAAGGAAUCGAGUUGUUGGUGAUAAGCUAUGGGCUAGGGUUUGGUGUAGAAGCUUAGAAGCUUGAAGCAAAUCUCAGUAAAUACAUGUGAGUUCUUUAAAUAGUUUUCCUACCUUGGGUUUGUGUGUGUGUCCAUGUGAGAAUCAUUGAUCAUGCUAGUUUAUGAAUUAGAGAAAUUAGUACCCCUUUGUGCCAUGAAUUGCCAAGAAAUGUUGUAAGUGUUUGCAAUACUAUUUAUUAUUACUGUUUUCUUAUUCAAGUUUAAAAAAGGGAAAUAGGUGAGCAAACAUUUAACCAUUGAUCGGCAACACAUGGUACACGAGAGUAAAAUAACAUGUAUUACGUUUGGGUGGCAUAUGAUCUCUAAGUGUUGGGAAUUUAUAGAACCUCGACUUAGAUAUAUAGUCUAGAAUGACCAUGCUAACAUGUAACCUAAGUACAUUAGGUAUAAGUAUGUAUGAAUAAGAAUAUGCACGUAUUGAUUUACCGCUAAUCGGGUAGGUUAUGGACCCGUGGUAAACAAGUAAGCAAAUAUAAGUUAUAACACUUCAAGCAAGAUGUAGGUGUCGUGUCUUUCCAUUAUCCACGCCAAGGGGGAUACGAGAGGUUCUCGUCAGGGGAACGAGAUACGCUCCGCAAGGUAGGCCCGCACGUCAAUGAGGGAGUCCGAUGUACCUUAGUUAGGUUUUCAUCGGUCAAGUAAGGGAAUGUACUCGGGGUUACUCCUCUCGAAGCACUCCGUAAAAUGAACCAAGAUAAUGUUGUUUGUUACACGCUAACUUCUAACAUAAAAAUGAAUAUGAUAUGAUUACGAUAUGUUUCGAGAUAAGAAUAAGCUUAUGCAAUAGAACAAGUUAUGAAGAUAUAUUGUCGACGGUCUUAGUAAUUCCCCAAUCGUCCAGUUUAGGAACAUGUCAUGAAUGACUUAUGUUAGGUCUUGAUGCGUUUCUCGUAUCUCGACAUAGCGGUCCUAGGUUCCCUUCACCGCCAUGACAUGUAUAGUACAAGAGUUAUGAGCUAAGAUAUGAAGCACCUACGACAGAUCUAGUAUGCACGACCGUCUAGGUAAGCAAGUCCACACACGUAUAAUCAACGACCAGGUUCUAUUUUAGACACUUGGUGACCAUAGGUUUUCCCCGAGGUUACCUAUAGCCUAGGAUUAGGUAGAACUCAUUGAGACAUCAUGUCUCAUCCCAAACCUUAUUGUUUUAGAUCAGCAGGUCAGGAUGUAGGAUAGCAAGCUUGUGACCGAAUGGAUAUACAACAAGGACUUGUUCGUACCCGCUAAAGGAUGUCUUAUGGGUUUAAGAGUGGUGUACUAUGCUUGGAUAGAUAGUGUUGUAUCGUUGAUUGUACGAACAUAUAUUGUUGUAUAUAAUUAUUCAUUCGAAGACUUAUUGUUGUAAAUUCAUGUGCAACAUUAUUUGAAAUAGGAACUUGUGUAGGCGCGACGUCUGUUGGCUUUUUCAGCUGGUUGCACCUACUUUGGCAUAACAGUUGGAAUCCAUUUUUUUUUUCUAUAGUAUUCGGUGCAAUAGGAGCAUGACCACAUGUAGAACCCAAUUUUUUCACUUUCUUCACAAGGUGCUUUUUGUCUUGAUCAAGUUUCACGACGUCUUGCUUCGACUUCAACCAACAACAAUUAGAUACGUUGUGACCAAUAAAACGACAGUGAAAUAAAAACACAGGAAGCUUGUAAUAAAUUACCUCAAUCUUGAAUACAUAAUUGUCACCUUCCAUCAUUAUUACAUUUUACAUCGAAAAGGCGACUAGACAAAUCUAUAUCAACCAAAAUACUCUUUAAUGUCUGAAAACCCUAUUAUUUUAUGUUAAUACCAUAAUUGCUAUGUAUUAAACAUACAUUAAUUUAUGUUACGAUUUAUGUCUAAAGAACUAAAAAAUUUCAUCAAACAUCUAGAGCACAAAAUAUACAUACAACUUUCAUGGUAUUAUUUUAUUUCUUAAACGACAACAUUGCACUAAUAUUUAAUUUAAUCUAAGCUCACAGUAAAAAGAAGAUUUUAAUUGAUCAACAACUACAAAACAACCAUCUAUUUCACAAUAAACAAACUAUCAUUUAAUUGAUUAACAACUACCCAAACAACCAUAUAUUAAUUUUAAAAGAACAACUAACCAAACAACCAUAUAAAAGAAUUUGAAUGGGUUUGCUUUGUUGUAGUAGGGAGGAAAAUUGUAUGGUUUGUGUUUGUGUGUUGUUUUGGUUUCUGUAUAUGUCAACAUCGAAACAACUCGUUAUACUAUUUAUUGAUGAACAAAAAUUAAUUAUCGUUCUUCCUGAACAAUGGUUAAAUACUCUUGGAGGCUUGGAGGUAUGCUCGGAAGUUUGAGGUUCUUGUGAGCAAUCUAAGGUGUCUAAAGAGAAAUUUUUAGAAUUUAAGCAAUUAGGGUAAUAUAUUUUUCAAUGGAGAAAACUUAUGUGCAUUUCCUUAGAUAUUUUUUAUGUGAUUCUUCACAUAAAAUACUCAUAACUAUCAAUGAUUUUUUAAAUCCAUAAUUUUCUUAAAGUUUGAUAUAAGUAUAAAUUGUGAAUUUUAUGUGAAUAAUCACACGAAAAGUAUCUAAGAAAACAUAUUCAAGUUUUUUUUAGGGGAACAUGUAUCUAAGUUUUUUUUUUUUAUUUGUGGAGAAAAGAAAAGUAUAAGUUUCACUAUAACCUAUUACAAUACAAUAUUUGUACCAAGAAAAAGAAAACCUACUACAAUACCCUUAUGGAUCGAUCCAAAUACAAUCGAACCCUCUACAACUCAAGCAACAACACCGACUCAUUGGUCAACUAAUUCAGACUAAAAUAUAGUUGUUUUAGGUGUAACAUUGAUUUUGGUCAAAAAGAGAGUCCAAUAAUAUUGAUUUUGGUAAAAAAUAAAUAAAAAUUAAGUAACAUUGAUUUUGGUCAAUAAUAGAAUUAGUAACAUUCAUUAAUAUUCCCAUUAACUAUUUUAAAUUAAUAAACAAAUAUCUAUAACUGUUAUUUGACUUCCUUUCAAAAAAAAUUGUAUUUGACUUUGAAUAGUUUAUUCUUUAUAGUAUUUUCAUUCAAAAUUUACAUUUAUCGUUCAUGCACUAUAUAUUAAGAUUAGGAUGUGGCUAAACUGUGAUUAGGAUUCAUAGUGUUAGAAGUCAAUAUUAGGGUUUUUCACUUUGUCGUCGCUAGCUUUGUAACCCAUUUGAUCGAUGAUCGAUUAUUCAUCUCCAAUCACCAUUCUUCAACUACAGGUAUAUGAUUCUACAUGUGUUACUUCUCUAUUUUCCAUCUAUUAAUUCAUUAAUUUCUUUCUAUCUGUUUGUUUUUAUUAACCUUUUCUGCAUUCGUUGAAACAUCAGUGAAACCCGUUUUGAUGCGUUCGUUGGGGAUCUUCUUUUCUCCGUUCUUCAUUUACUUUUUCACAAGCCGUGAUGUUUGUUCAAGUGUAAUUUCUUUGAUUAAUAACCAAUGUAAGAGAUAACACUACCUCAGUUUGAGCAAGCUCUUAAGUCUAUAAAAUCAUUUUCAAGAGACAGAGAACUUGAAAUUCCACCAAGAUGGAUGAAUUGGUUAGGCUUGUGAGAGUUAAUGAGCCUUUUUGGGGCAAACCUUCAAAUAGUCAAGAUGGGUACACUCUUCAUCGUGAAAGUUACGAGCAAGUUUUUCUCAAGAACAAUCAUUUUAAAGGUGCGUACGUGUGCGAAGAAUCUUCCAAAUAUUCAGGGUUGGUGAAGAUUAGUGGCAUAGAGUUAGUUGGCAUAUUUCUCGACUCAAUCAAAUGGACAAACUUGUUCCCAACAAUUGUUACCAAAGCUGAAACUAUCAAAGUGUUUGAAAUCAGUUCUCGAGGAAGUCGAGAUGGAGCUUUAUUAUUGGUGAAUGAAGAAAUGCAUAUUUUAUCACCUCUGGUGAGGCCUCGCGAAUUUAACAUCAUUCGCUACUGCAAAAAAGUUGAUCCUGAAGUAUGAGUGAUAACUGAUGUCUCAUUUGACUCCUCUCGACCAAACACUGCACCUCUUUCUCGUGGUUGGAAACAUCCCUCUGGAUGCAUCAUUCAUGAAAUGCUUCAUGGGGGUUGUCUGUUUAGUACUUAAUUAACAAUAAUGUUAUUAUGAAUAUAGAGAUACGCACAUAAUAGUCUAAUACUAAUAGUAAUGAACAAAUGCUUAACGAAUAAUUUUAAGCUAAAAGUAUAUUAAAAAUAAAGAUCGAAAUUGUCUUUUCUAUGAGUAGUGUGUUAAUUUUAUAAAUUGUCUUAAUGGGUGUAGGUUAACUUCUGUUUUUAGGGUUUUUGUCUCUAUUUCUCUUUUUCUUGGCUGUAUAUAUGGGAUUGAUUACCCUUACACGAUCCACAAUGGUGGGUGCUUCACUUUUUAUUGGUGUUUAUAGAGAAUGGUGCCUAUAGAAGGACAGUC